rnacentral:lncRNA from 1 species
CACUCCAAAAAUUUCAAGGAAUCAUAACUUUCUCGUACGGCAAUGAAAUCACACACAGUCGAAGCCUAUGUAUUCGUAGCGAAGCGCUCUUCAAAUUGAUACCAAACCCAUAUGCUGGAAUCAAACGUGCCCAUAUUUUGAAGCCUAGAAGCUUCGACGGCUUUUGUGGAUUUUUCGCCGACUCCGGCUAACCUCGCUGGAGAUAGGUCUUGACCCAAGAGGGAAUAAUACUCAUCUCUUCAUGCGCUUCCAGGAUAUGUAAGUGGAUCUUUCGAAUUUCAAGUUUUAUUUUCCCACAAGUUUGAGAUUUAUGUGUUUAACUUGAAUUUUGGUGUUCUUGAUGAGGAGUUAUGGUGGUAACAUUGAUUCAAGAGCUUAAUAGCUAAGUGGAGAUUGAUGAACGACUUUGGAGGGCAGGACAAGAACAAGAAAUGGUAUAUACUUUAAUUUUAUUGAAUUGUUUGUAGACUUUGGUUAAAAGAGGAAGAAUUAAGCAUGUUAUACGUAAGCUAACACAUUGAAAUAGAAGUUAAAUAUGAUUCCUUGAUAGUUUGGGAAGUGCUCUGAAAUUGUAAAUUUGAUUAAACGAGUAUGGAUUCUAAAUUACAGGAAACUUAUUCAUUUUGCGGAGAGAAACUAUGUUUCAUGUCGCCUACUUUGGCUCUUGAUUUCCAUGUCCUUGGGAGUUCCUUUUGAUCUAAUAUUAUGUGUUUUGGAAAUAAACAUGUCCAUGAUCAAAACCCAUAUGAUUUCACUUAACUGCGUUGAGUCUUGAUAGAUUAAAAUCAUGUCCAAAAGUUGA